rnacentral:rRNA from 1 species
UACAGAGGUCUCAAGCGUUGUUCGGAUUCAUUGGGCGUAAAGGGUGCGUAGGCGGCGCGGUAAGUCGGGUGUGAAAUCUCGGAGCUUAACUCCGAAACUGCAUUCGAUACUGCCGUGCUUGAGGACUGGAGAGGAGACUGGAAUUUACGGUGUAGCGGUGAAAUGCGUAGAUAUCGUGAGGAAGACCAGUGGCGAAGGCGGGUCUCGUGGACAGUUCCUGACGCUGAGGCACGAAGGUCAGGGGAGCAAACGGG